rnacentral:rRNA from 1 species
UUAGAGUUUGAAUCCUGGCUCAGAUUGAACGCUGGCGGCAGGCCUAACACAUGCAAGUCGAGCGGUAGAGAGAAGCUUGCUUCUCUUGAGAGCGGCGGACGGGUGAGUAAUGCCUAGGAAUCUGCCUGGUAGUGGGGGAUAACGUUCGGAAACGGACGCUAAUACCGCAUACGUCCUACGGGAGAAAGCAGGGGACCUUCGGGCCUUGCGCUAUCAGAUGAGCCUAGGUCGGAUUAGCUAGUUGGUGAGGUAAUGGCUCACCAAGGCGACGAUCCGUAACUGGUCUGAGAGGAUGAUCAGUCACACUGGAACUGAGACACGGUCCAGACUCCUACGGGAGGCAGCAGUGGGGAAUAUUGGACAAUGGGCGAAAGCCUGAUCCAGCCAUGCCGCGUGUGUGAAGAAGGUCUUCGGAUUGUAAACCACUUUAAGUUGGGAGGAAGGGCAGUUACCUAAUACGUGAUUGUUUUGACGUUACCGACAGAAUAAGCACCGGCUAACUCUGUGCCAGCAGCCGCGGUAAUACAGAGGGUGCAAGCGUUAAUCGGAAUUACUGGGCGUAAAGCGCGCGUAGGUGGUUAGUUAAGUUGGAUGUGAAAUCCCCGGGCUCAACCUGGGAACUGCAUUCAAAACUGACUGACUAGAGUAUGGUAGAGGGUGGUGGAAUUUCCUGUGUAGCGGUGAAAUGCGUAGAUAUAGGAAGGAACACCAGUGGCGAAGGCGACCACCUGGACUGAUACUGACACUGAGGUGCGAAAGGCGUGGGAGCAACCGG